rnacentral:rRNA from 1 species
UACGUAGGUGGCAAGCGUUGUCCGGAUUUACUGGGCGUAAAGGGCGUGCAGGCGGUUUGUUAAGUCUAGGGUGAAAGCUCCCGGCUCAACUGGGAGAGGUCCUUGGAUACUGGCAGACUUGAGGAGGGUAGAGGAGAGUGGAAUUCCCGGUGUAGUGGUGAAAUGCGUAGAUAUGUGGAGGAACACCUGUGGCGAAGGCGCCUUGCUGGCCAAUUUCUGACGCUGAGGCGCGAAAGCGUGGGGAGCAAACAGG